AAAGUCGUAACAAGGUUUCCGUAGGUGAACCUGCGGAAGGAUCAUUACCUGGCCUUGGGCCGCUCGCGGGGGCUCGUCGCUUGCGACGGUGUUCCCGAGGGUGCUUAGCCCUUGAUUAUCACCUUGAUUAUGCGCACCUUUGUUGUUCCCUCGGCAGUUCGCUGCCGUGAGGGACCCGUAAACUCUUUUGCAUUAGCAUCAAACAUCUGAAAACAAAUUUAAUUAUUUACAACUUUCAACAAUGGAUCUCUUGGUUCUG
rnacentral:misc_RNA from 1 species